rnacentral:lncRNA from 1 species
UUUGCAAACUAGGUAGUACCAUUAUUACUUAAGCCGAAUGGUUCGAGUCGAUGAGCGCACAUGAAACCAUUCCGACCAAAUGGGAACUAAUCUAGUAGCAAAGCUUCAUACUUAAUCAAUCAUCAUUUAAGACUCAAAUUAAUACUUCCAUCUCUACGGUACAAAACACAAUGACAUACAAUCUAAUGUUUAAUUGUUGUUUCAAUGUUAAAGCUUUCGAAAUUCCCUUCUUCACGUUAAAUUAAGAAUCCCAUCAAAAGUAAACAACUAAUAAAAGAUAUAACAUGUAAAUGAAGUUGUAUUCAGAUAUUUAAACGUAAAGGGGGUAUAGUGCUGUUGUACAAUGAUGGCAACCAUCUGUACUUAAAACCUCACAACUCUGUAGAGUUUAACUCAACUUAAAUCGCAAGUCACAAACAUUUUUACGCUAACUUAAUGUGAAUGAACCAAGGAACUCGAAACUACUUUCGCUUUGCAUUUUUCAAUGACAAUUUAAAACAGAACAGCCACUCGAUUUAGCUAUAAAAGACUAUAUCCCGUACUUAAACAAAC